UGUUGAGCUUGACUCUAGCACGACUUUGUGAAAUGACUUGAGAAGUGUAGAAUAAGUGGGAUUAUUUUUCGGCACAAAUGAGAUACAACUACUUUUAACAUCAUUUUACUUAUUAUGUGGGGAGGAGAGGGGAAUUUACCCUAUUUUUGGCCUUAAGACACAUUUCGAUGGGUCGAUAUGGGUGAAAGACAUUGUCAAGUGGGGAUUUUGGAUGGGGCGACACAUAUAUUAAAAGAUAACAUAAAAUAUAAUUGGUGUAGAUAGAACAUUUGUAUUUGGGAUAUCCUAGUGCAAAACCACCCUUAUUACA
rfam:Picea glauca, whole genome shotgun sequence.